rnacentral:tRNA from 1 species
UUAAAAUUAGUUAAAAAAUAACGUAAGCUUGUCAAGCUUGAAUUAUCAAUAUUUGAUAUUUUAAA